rnacentral:rRNA from 1 species
GAUAAACGCUGGCGGCGCACAUAAGACAUGCAAGUCGAACGGACUUAACCGUUAGUUUACUAAUGGAGCGGUUAGUGGCGGACUGGUGAGUAACGCGUGAGCAACCUGCCUAUCAGAGGGGAACAACAGUUAGAAAUGACUGCUAAUACCGCAUAUGCCUAAGUAUCACAUGAUACAAUAGGGAAAGGAGCAAUCCGCUGAUAGAUGGGCUCGCGUCUGAUUAGAUAGUUGGUGGGGUAACGGCCUACCAAGUCAACGAUCAGUAGCCGGACUGAGAGGUUCAACGGCCACAUUGGGACUGAGAUACGGCCCAGACUCC